rnacentral:rRNA from 1 species
GGUUAAGCGACUAAGCGUACACGGUGGAUGCCCUGGCAGUCAGAGGCGAUGAAGGACGUGCUAAUCUGCGAAAAGCGCCGGCGAGGUGAUAUGAACCCUUGACCCGGCGAUGUCCGAAUGGGGAAACCCAGUGCAAUCCGUUGCACUAUCGUUAACUGAAUACAUAGGUUAACGAGGCGAACCGGGGGAACUGAAACAUCUAAGUACCCCGAGGAAAAGAAAUCAACCGAGAUUCCCCCAGUAGCGGCGAGCGAACGGGGAGCAGCCCGGAGUCUGAAUCAGCUUGUGUGUUAGUGGAACGGUCUGGAAAGUCCGACGGUACAGGGUGAUAGUCCCGUACACGAAAAUGCACAUGCUGUGAACUCGAAGAGUAGGGCGGGACACGUGGUAUCCUGUCUGAAUAUGGGGGGACCAUCCUCCAAGGCUAAAUACUCCUGACUGACCGAUAGUGAACCAGUACCGUGAGGGAAAGGCGAAAAGAACCCCGGCGAGGGGAGUGAAAAAGAACCUGAAACCGUGUACGUACAAGCAGUGGGAGCCUCUUUAUGGGGUGACUGCGUACCUUUUGUAUAAUGGGUCAGCGACUUAUAUUCUGUAGCAAGGUUAACCGUAUAGGGGAGCCGAAGGGAAACCGAGUCUUAACUGGGCGUUAAGUUGCAGGGUAUAGACCCGAAACCCGGUGAUCUAGCCAUGGGCAGGUUGAAGGUUGGGUAACACUAACUGGAGGACCGAACCGACUAAUGUUGAAAAAUUAGCGGAUGACCUGUGGCUGGGGGUGAAAGGCCAAUCAAACCGGGAGAUAGCUGGUUCUCCCCGAAAGCUAUUUAGGUAGCGCCUCGUGAACUCAUCUUCGGGGGUAGAGCACUGUUUCGGCUAGGGGGCCAUCCCGGCUUACCAACCCGAUGCAAACUACGAAUACCGAAGAAUGUUAUCACGGGAGACACACGGCGGGUGCUAACGUCCGUCGUGAAGAGGGAAACAACCCAGACCGCCAGCUAAGGUCCCAAAGUCAUGGUUAAGUGGGAAACGAUGUGGGAAGGCACAGACAGCCAGGAUGUUGGCUUAGAAGCAGCCAUCAUUUAAAGAAAGCGUAAUAGCUCACUGGUCGAGUCGGCCUGCGCGGAAGAUGUAACGGGGCUAAACCAUGCACCGAAGCUGCGGCAGCGACACUAUGUGUUGUUGGGUAGGGGAGCGUUCUGUAAGCCGUUGAAGGUGUGCUGUGAGGCAUGCUGGAGGUAUCAGAAGUGCGAAUGCUGACAUAAGUAACGAUAAAGCGGGUGAAAAGCCCGCUCGCCGGAAGACCAAGGGUUCCUGUCCAACGUUAAUCGGGGCAGGGUGAGUCGACCCCUAAGGCGAGGCCGAAAGGCGUAGUCGAUGGGAAACAGGUUAAUAUUCCUGUACUUGGUGUUACUGCGAAGGGGGGACGGAGAAGGCUAUGUCAGCCGGGCGACGGUUGUCCCGGUUUAAGCAUGUAGGCGGAGGUUCCAGGUAAAUCCGGUACCUUGUUAACGCUGAGGUGUGAUGACGAGGCACUACGGUGCUGAAGUGAUAAAUGCCCUGCUUCCAGGAAAAGCCUCUAAGCAUCAGGUAACACGAAAUCGUACCCCAAACCGACACAGGUGGUCAGGUAGAGAAUACCAAGGCGCUUGAGAGAACUCGGGUGAAGGAACUAGGCAAAAUGGUGCCGUAACUUCGGGAGAAGGCACGCUGAUAUGUAGGUGAAGCCCCUGCGGGUGGAGCUGAAAUCAGUCGAAGAUACCAGCUGGCUGCAACUGUUUAUUAAAAACACAGCACUGUGCAAACACGAAAGUGGACGUAUACGGUGUGACGCCUGCCCGGUGCCGGAAGGUUAAUUGAUGGGGUUAGCGGCAACGCGAAGCUCUUGAUCGAAGCCCCGGUAAACGGCGGCCGUAACUAUAACGGUCCUAAGGUAGCGAAAUUCCUUGUCGGGUAAGUUCCGACCUGCACGAAUGGCGUAAUGAUGGCCAGGCUGUCUCCACCCGAGACUCAGUGAAAUUGAACUCGCUGUGAAGAUGCAGUGUACCCGCGGCAAGACGGAAAGACCCCGUGAACCUUUACUAUAGCUUGACACUGAACACUGGUCCUUGAUGUGUAGGAUAGGUGGGAGGCUUUGAAGCGUGGACGCCAGUCUGCGUGGAGCCAACCUUGAAAUACCACCCUUUAAUGGCUGGUGUUCUAACGUGGACCCGUUACCCGGGUUGCGGACAGUGUCUGGUGGGUAGUUUGACUGGGGCGGUCUCCUCCCAAAGAGUAACGGAGGAGCACGAAGGUUGGCUAAUCCUGGUCGGACAUCAGGAGGUUAGUGCAAUGGCAUAAGCCAGCUUGACUGCGAGCGUGACGGCGCGAGCAGGUGCGAAAGCAGGUCAUAGUGAUCCGGUGGUUCUGAAUGGAAGGGCCAUCGCUCAACGGAUAAAAGGUACUCCGGGGAUAACAGGCUGAUACCGCCCAAGAGUUCAUAUCGACGGCGGUGUUUGGCACCUCGAUGUCGGCUCAUCACAUCCUGGGGCUGAAGUAGGUCCCAAGGGUAUGGCUGUUCGCCAUUUAAAGUGGUACGCGAGCUGGGUUUAGAACGUCGUGAGACAGUUCGGUCCCUAUCUGCCGUGGGCGCUGGAGAAUUGAGGGGGGCUGCUCCUAGUACGAGAGGACCGGAGUGGACGCAUCACUGGUGUUCGGGUUGUCAUGCCAAUGGCACUGCCCGGUAGCUAAAUGCGGAAGAGAUAAGUGCUGAAAGCAUCUAAGCACGAAACUUGCCCCGAGAUGAGUUCUCCCUGAGACCUUGAGUCUCCUGAAGGAACGUUGAAGACGAUGACGUUGAUAGGUCGGGUGUGUAAGCGCAGCGAUGCGUUGAGCUAACCGAUACUAAUGAACCGUGAGGCUUAACCUU